GGGGAAUUUUGGACAAUGGGCGAAAGCCUGAUCCAGCAAUGCCGCGUGUGUGAAGAAGGCCUUCGGGUUGUAAAGCACUUUUGUCCGGAAAGAAAUGGCUCUGGUUAAUACCUGGGGUCGAUGACGGUACCGGAAGAAUAAGGACCGGCUAACUACGUGCCAGCAGCCGCGGUAAUACGAAGGGUGCAAGCGUUAAUCGGAAUUACUGGGCGUAAAGCGCGCGUAGGUGGUUCGUUAAGUUGGAUGUGAAAGCCCCGGGCUCAACCUGGGAAAUGCAGCCAAAACUGGGGAGCUAGAGGAUGGCAGAGGGUGGUGGAAUUUCCUGUGUAGCGGGGAAAUGCGUAGAUAUAGGAAGGAACACCAGUGGCGAAGGCGACCACCUGGGCUAAUACUGACACUGAGGUGCGAAAGCGUGGGGAGCAAACA
rnacentral:rRNA from 1 species